AGCUUUGCACAGUGGCAGUAUCGUAGCCAAUGAGGUUUAUCCGAGGCGCAAUUAUUGCUAAUUGAAAACUUUUCAUACCUGAAUGAGUUGCUAGUGAUUAAAAAUUCAAAUGUUAAAACAAUUCACUUAGUGGGAAUGGUGGCACAUACCUGUAAUCCC
ensembl:snRNA U4 U4 spliceosomal RNA